GGGUCACCUGAUCCCGCUAGCGGAGCUAGCGAAGCGGCUGGCGUCGCGGCACGGAGCCACGGCGACGCUCAUCACGUUCGCGUCCACGGCGUCGGCGACGCAGCGCGCGUUCCUGGCGUCGCUCCCGCCCGCGGUGACCUCGCUCUCGCUCCCGCCCGUCGACCUCUCCGACCUGCCCCGCGGCGCCGCCAUCGAGACGCUCAUGUCCGAGGAGUGCGCGCGCUCUGUCCCGGCGCUCACGUCCAUCCUCCUCGACCUCAAGCGGACCACGGGGGGCCGCCUGGCGGCGUUCGUGGCGGACCUGUUCGGCGCCGACUCCCUGGACGCGGCGCGCGCGGCCGGGGUGCGACGGCGGUGCAUCUUCUUCCCCACCAACCUCCACGCGCUCACGCUCAUGCUCCACCUCCCCGAGCUCGACGCCUCGGUGUCGUGCGAGUUCCGGGACCUCCCGGAGCCGCUGCGGCUCCCCGGGUGCGUGCCUAUCCCGGGUCCCGACAUCCUGAUGCCGCUGCAGGACAAGGCCAACCCGUGCUACCGCUGGAUGGUGC
rnacentral:lncRNA from 1 species